rnacentral:rRNA from 1 species
UAACACGUGAGCAACCUGCCCUGAACUCUGGGAUAAGCGCUGGAAACGGCGUCUAAUACUGGAUAUGAGCUGCGGAGGCAUCUUCGUGGUUGGAAAGAUUUUUCGGUUUGGGAUGGGCUCGCGGCCUAUCAGNUUGUUGGUGAGGUAAUGGCUCACCAAGGCGUCGACGGGUAGCCGGCCUGAGAGGGUGACCGGCCACACUGGGACUGAGACACGGCCCAGACUCCUACGGGAGGCAGCAGUGGGGAAUAUUGCACAAUGGGCGGAAGCCUGAUGCAGCAACGCCGCGUGAGGGAUGACGGCCUUCGGGUUGUAAACCUCUUUUAGCAGGGAAGAAGCGANAGUGACGGUACCUGCAGAAAAAGCGCCGGCUAACUACGUGCCAGCAGCCGCGGUAAUACGUAGGGCGCAAGCGUUAUCCGGAAUUAUUGGGCGUAAAGAGCUCGUAGGCGGUUUGUCGCGUCUGCUGUGAAAUCUGGGGGCUCAACCCCCAGCCUGCAGUGGGUACGGGCAGACUAGAGUGCGGUAGGGGAGAUUGGAAUUCCUGGUGUAGCGGUGGAAUGCGCAGAUAUCAGGAGGAACACCGAUGGCGAAGGCAGAUCUCUGGGCCGUAACUGACGCUGA